rnacentral:rRNA from 1 species
UACGUAGGUGGCAAGCGUUGUCCGGAAUUAUUGGGCGUAAAGCGCGCGCAGGCGGUCCUUUAAGUCUGAUGUGAAAGCCCACGGCUCAACCGUGGAGGGUCAUUGGAAACUGGGGGACUUGAGUACAGAAGAGAAGAGUGGAAUUCCAGGUGUAGCGGUGAAAUGCGUAGAUAUCUGGAGGAACACCGGUGGCGAAGGCGGCAUCCUGGACCGGUAUUGACGCUGAGGCGCGAAAGCCAGGGGAGCAAACGGG